rnacentral:rRNA from 1 species
UACAGAGACUGCAAGCGUUAUUCGGAUUCACUGGGCGUAAAGGGUGCGCAGGCGGCCGUGUGUGUGAGGCGUGAAAGCCCGGGGCUUAACCCCGGAAUUGCACCUCAAACUACAUGGCUAGAGCAUUGGAGAGGGUAGCAGAAUUCAUGGUGUAGCAGUGAAAUGCGUAGAUAUCAUGAGGAAUACCAGAGGCGAAGGCGGCUACCUGGACAAUUGCUGACGCUCAGGCACGAAAGCUAGGGGAGCAAACGGG